CGAAAGCCUGACGGAGCAAGACCGCGUGGGGGAGGAAUGCCUUAGGGUUGUAAACCCCUUUUAUCUGGGAAGAACAAAAUGACGGUACCAGAUGAAUAAGCCUCGGCUAACUCCGUGCCAGCAGCCGCGGUAAUACGGAGGAGGCAAGCGUUAUCCGGAAUUAUUGGGCGUAAAGAGUCCGUAGGUGGUGGGGCAAGUCGGCGGUUAAAGACUGGGGCUUAACUCCAGAAAAGCCGUGGAAACUGCACCACUAGAGGGCAGUAGGGGUAGAGGGAAUUCCCGGUGUAGCGGUGAAAUGCGUAGAUAUCGGGAAGAACACCAGUGGCGAAAGCGCUCUACUGGACUGCAACUGACACUGAGGGACGAAAGCUAGGGGAGCG
rnacentral:rRNA from 1 species